rnacentral:rRNA from 1 species
AACGAACGCUGGCGGCAGGCUUAACACAUGCAAGUCGAACGCCCUCUUCGGAGGGAGUGGCAGACGGGUGAGUAACGCGUGGGAACCUACCCAGUAGUACGGAAUAACUCAGGGAAACUUGUGCUAAUACCGUAUACGCCCUACGGGGGAAAGAGUUUAUCGCUAUUGGAUGGGCCCGCGUUGGAUUAGUUUGUUGGUGAGGUAAUGGCUCACCAAGGCGACGAUCAAUAGCUGGUCUGAGAGGAUGAUCAGCCACACUGGGACUGAGACACGGCCCAGACUCCUACGGGAGGCAGCAGUGGGGAAUAUUGGACAAUGGGCGCAAGCCUGAUCCAGCCAUGCCGCGUGAGUGAUGAAGGCCCUAGGGUUGUAAAGCUCUUUCAACGGUGAAGAUAAUGACGGUAACCGUAGAAGAAGCCCCGGCUAACUUCGUG